UAGAACAAUACACUGAUCGAGGGAAACUCAGCGUGUUUGUUUGUCUCUAAUACCUGUUCCCUUAUUGCAGAUUUCAAAUAAGAUGAUAGAGUGGGAGUGCAGGGUGUAAAAAGAUUCAUCGUUCAAGACUCCACCUCCUCAGACACCACAGACUAGAACAUAGACACUGCUCAAAAAUAAGUCCACUUCCAUCUUGAAGAUUCUGAAGUGCACAUUGAGAAGGAGCCACUGGAGCAAUAUACGGUUGUGCGUUACAGCUCUAAUGGCCAAAUGCAUAGUGACCCAGUGAAUGUCUCUGUUGUUCUUGAGGAUGAAUUGGUCACCACCCACAACCAACUUCCAGAGGCCUUUCUUGUCCUGUUUGGAUUCCUGUAUGCUUUUCACAUACAUAUUCCUAAAGGACUUGCAAAAACAUUUGUAUUUGUGCAAAAAACUUUUG